rnacentral:tRNA from 1 species
ACUCUCUUAGUAUAACACUCAGUACAGUUGACUUCCAAUCAACCAGCUUCAGAAUAAUCCUGAGAGAGAGUA